rnacentral:tRNA from 1 species
UGGCUCAGUUGGUAGAGCAUGGUGUUUGCAACGCCAGGGUUGUGAGUUCGAUUCCCAU